AUCAUUUGAGAGGCAGGAAAGGCACCCUACGCUCCUUAGGGAACCUGAUAUGAUGGAUGCGCCGCCCAUCCAAGUGUU
rnacentral:ncRNA from 12 species